UCUUGGGUGGUCCAACGGUUAAGAUUCCCGCUUGUCAUGACAAGUCAAAAGAUCUGUUUCAGAUCGCGGGCGACCGGGGUUCGACUCCCCGCUCGAGAG